rnacentral:rRNA from 1 species
UACUUCUUCGGACAAUAUACAAGGUGCUGCAUGGUUGUCGUCAGCUCGUGCCGUGAGGUGUCGGGUUAAGUCCCAUAACGAGCGCAACCCCUAUCAUUAGUUGCCAUCAGGUCAAGCUGGGGACUCUAAUGAAACUGCCUACGCAAGUAGUGAGGAAGGCGGGGAUGACGUCAAAUCAGCACGGCCCUUACGUCCAGGGCUACACACGUGCUACAAUGGCCGAUACAGAGGGCAGCUACCUGGUGACAGGAUGCAAAUCUCCAAAGUCGGUCUCAGUUCGGAUCGGAGUCUGCAACCCGACUCCGUGAAGUUGGAUUCGCUAGUAAUCGCGCAUCAGCCAUGGCGCGGUGAAUACGUUCCCGGGCCUU